rnacentral:misc_RNA from 1 species
AGACCUAGCUGCUGUCGAAGUUCCAUCUACAAUGGAUAAGACUUUGGUCUUAGUGUGUAUGAGCUUUUGAAAAAAAAAAAGGAGCAAUCGCCAAUUUCUUGUUCUAUCAARAGGGUUGGCAUUGCYCCUUUUUUUAGUAUUUUUAUUUUUAGUAAUAGUUAGUUUACUUUAAAUCAAUUUUCUUUUUUUUUUUAACUUUGGWAUUYCUUCC